UGCCUGUAGACACUGAUUCUCAGGCCUGUGGGAAAUUCUGGUGAACAGCUAAAAACUUGUACUCAAAUUUAUCCUCCAGACUAUCAGCCACUGGUUGUGGAUUCCUCUAGGAAGAGCUAACACCCAGAUAAUCCUGGACUUCCAUGUCCAGACAGAUGGAUUUGGAAGACACCCUCGUGCAAAGAGAGGCAGCUAAUGGCAGUCGGAGAUUGGCCUUGGGCAGGCCAGAGGUAUUUCAGUGACAGGAUCCACUCAGGAGAGUUGGGGCAAGGCUGGCUGAGGUUGUGGAGGAGCUGAGUUCUGAGCUCAGGUGCCCGCAUGGCCCCGGAUUGAUGCUUCCUGGCCUCUCAGACCUUUGAAACCUCGGGGCAGUCUUAGAAAUCACCUCAAGCCUCCUGUCCAGGACACGACUGCCUGGGGGAAUUCCAGGGAAAGGUGGCAGACUUCAUGGACUGAAAGGUGACGGAUUCUCCAGUGAGCUCCCUGCAAGAUCUCAAAGGUCCCCAGCCUCUGGCUGCUCCACACAUAACAGCCAUGUUCCCGGAGAGGCGGCGGGAGGCAGGCCCGGAGGAGGCUCUGCUUCUCGGCCAAAGGAUGGACCACCUUCUCAGGCGUCCUGGGGAACUGCCGCAGGACGCUGAGGAAGACCUGCUGGUCCCCAGGACAGAAACACGGCAGCUGAACCCGAGAAGCACCUCCAGAGGGACUCCUCCAGGCUGGAGCACUCUGAGCCGCGGGUCCGGGUUGGACUGCUUUUGCUUUGCUUUCACCUGUGUGUGUAACACGCAGCUCUGGAGGCUUUUGAAUGGUUGGCUUCUUUCUUUUUUCCCCCCUGUCUUUUCUUUUUCUUCUCUUGGCCCUGGGAAUUGUAAGAAAAGAAUUGCUUUGGAACAUAUAAUUCUGUUGCUGAAAUUUUCUUUAUGAACAAGUUGUGUUUUUAGGGAGUUUCCGAAUUACAAUCCCAGGUUACCUAGUAAAUGGGACUGCAUGGUUUGAUUUGUGUCAUACUGAUCCUUAGAUUAAAAAUGCACUUUCUUUCUUUCUUUCUUUCUUUCUUUCUUCUUGUUUUUAAAUUUGAUUCCAGGUAUAGCCUGAGUCCCAUUUGCUUAGCUACUGAAGCGAUCUCCAUGUGGUAUCGCUUGGACUUGAGAUAUAAUCAAACAUAUAUUCUAUCUGGGCUCAUGCACGAUGUUUGAUAUUUAUGUUCUGCUACAAAGAAACACAAACCUUGUAGGUUGAAAUUUAAUUCCUGUCUGAUCCUGCAACUAGAAUGGUGGGGAGAUUAUAAAUAUCAAAAGUGGCCUCAAAUACCCUUGAAUGUAAACUAACCAACAGUAAGUGGACAGUUUCAAAUGCCCUUUGAUAAAACAAAGCAGGGAUUGGAGAUCAGCUGACCUUGUCAAAGGCUGUGUUCAGGUCUGUCUAAGGACCUGCCCAUUUUGGAAGAAUUAGGGAACAAGGCACGCCUUCGUGUUUGGGUUUAUGGAAAUUGUGGUAUUUCUGACUUAUGUUCUGUAACUGUGCCUUCCUCACAAUAAAACACCUUCAGUUGA